UAUGUCGACUUCCGCUUAGAUCAGUCGGUGAAAGGAAAGUGAUUUCGUUUAUUUUCAAGCAGAUUGUUUGACAGAAAGCAUCAACAUGGUGGAGAUCGGAUCGGGACCAAUCAAGGAAAGCAUCGACAACUCGGUGUUUAUUAUACCGGGGAUAAUUAUAGGAUUCCUAGUCAUAUUUUUCACAUACAAACUUGUGAAAAGCCUUAGAGACAAAGAAAAAGCAAAAGAAGAAAAGAAAAAGUUGAAGCAACAAAGAAAAGAAAAAGAAACUUCUAAACGAGUAAAAAAGACUAAGGCAACUUAGUUCCACAUAUAGACACAAUUUUUAAUUUGCAUUCAUGUUUAGGAAAGAAAAUCACUAGCUAUGAGGAAGACUGUUGGCAAAUGUGAUUGAAAAAAGACCUGUGAAAUUUGGUAAAUCAAAAUAUGAAAAGGGGUUUAAAAAAUAAAUAAUGUUGAUUUAAUAAUAGUUAAUAAGCUGUUUUAAGUUUAGUUAUCAUGGUUUUCAUCAUUUAUAUAAGACAAAAUGUGCAAUAUACAUAGAAUGUGGUAAGCCUAGCUGAAAGGUUUCUAAUUGAAAAUUCUGGACACAACAUUCUGAGUUUUUAUACAUUGAAGUCAGAUGAAAUUUUCAUCAUCAUCUGAAGAACAAUUUAGAAAGCGUGGCCAAGUCCCAACACGAUUUGACAUCAUCCAGAUAUACAUGCAAAGUUUACCAAAUGAAAUGGAUUGUUCAGGAUUGAUAUUGAAAAACGCAGUGAAGACGCAGUGCAACAGAAUACAAGACAAUUUCAAUCUUAUUUUGGCUUAGCCACUUUUAGGAAUAACAGACAGAGAAUAUUAGUUGUAGAAUCAAUAGACUUAGGAAUUUAAUAAAAUUGUGUGUUGUGACAGUUGAAAUUGUGCGACAUGCAGUUCUAUCUUGUGAUUGUUUACUUAUAUAUUUAUUUAAAAGAUUUGUUGAUACUUAUUUCAAAGAAGAAAAACAAAACAAAUCCUUUCUUUUUAAUAGUAAAAAAAAAUCCAGUGUAUUUUUGUAUAAGUUCUGGCAUGUGUAAAAAAAUCAAUAUCAAUCUAUUUUUAAUUUGUAAAAUAAAUAAAAUAUUUUAAUUAUUUUGAAGCUUUUUUCAUUGUUCUUUUUUUCCAUAAAGAUGAAAAAAAAUCCAUGGAGAUAAAUCAUAUCAUAAAAAAGAACACAAUUGAAAUUUGACAUUACCCGGUAUGUUCUUUUCAUGGUACUUGUCUCACUUGCAUUGAAAAUGGUACUACCGGGCUAGUUGUCUCCCUUAGAUUGCAAUUACUAAGUAAAGUAUUACAAAACUAAAUUAAAAUAUUAAGUGUAAGUAAUUAGUGUUUUUAUAUUUGGAUUAUUUUAAUGCUUUUAUUUUUAUUUAUGUGAUCAGUGAUUUUUUUACCUGCGAGUCCUGCGUCCUGGACUCACAAAUACUCUGGGGAUUAUCAAACAUAUGACUAAUAGCAGUUGACUUCCUUUAUCUAAAAAACUACUUAAUCUUUGUUAUUAUUAUAAUAUUACAUGUACAUACAUGUACUUAAGUUACGUUUUAUGUUAUGGAACUUGUUUUUGUGUGUGUACAUUCCAUUAUGUGUCAACCAUGAUGUGUCAAAGUUUUCAAACAGUUAUCAUUAUUAUUAUAUGUAGUCAAUUAUGUAAAAGUGUUGUGUUUUCUUGACAUAGAUAUAGUACUUAGUGUCUUUAUGUGUGUAAUUGUAAAUAAAUUUAAUCACAAAAUUAAUAAUCAUGAUUAUUUUAGUAAUUUUACUUAUUUUCAUUAUUGUAUUGAAACAGAUAAAAACUUAAGUAAUUGUUUCAUUUAAACAUACUUUAGAUCUAUGUUUACUUGUGUUCUACCAAACUAAGGACGCAUGAUUUGUAAUCAAUGAGCUGCUCAUUUCCUAAAUUAUCUGUCAAAGUUGUAUAAUUUGUGUCAUAUUAAUGUAUAUUAAGCUACUGUUACUUUUCAAUUUUUAACAUUCAUUUCCUAAUACACUUGCUUAGCUGUUCCAUUUCUACCUUUGUGGAUUGAAGGCCUACAGAUCUUUUCAGCCAUCAAUGAAUGUAUGCUAAUAGGCCGUUAUCUUUCAAGAGACAAAUUGUGUUGUGUGUAUUCUUUCAUUUCAUGGAACACGUUUUACCAUUCUUAUGGAAGUAUUUUAAUGUGUAGAUGUUUUAGAGUAAAUUCAUGGUGGAGCGAAAAAUAAAGAUAUUAUUCAAGA